CGACGCUGUUGCGCCGGCGCCUGGCGUCGUGUGCCGUCGGCGGCACCGGGCGCUGCGGCGGGAGCGGUCGAUCCACGGGCAGCGGCGCCCUGAAUUCGCCCCUGUCCUUGUGCUGCGGCUGCGCGUCUGGCCUCUCCAUCGUGUCGCCGUGCGCGGCGUGCUUUGCGUCGACUCCUUUUUUCCCCCCUGCCCUCUUGUUUCUUUUCUGCGCUGGUCACCGGGGUCGGCGCGUCCGCGGCUCUCGUCGGUGGUCGCCCUUUUUCACUAGCGGCUCUUUUUUUUUUGUUCGACCUCGGCGUCCUCCUUGCGCGUCUCGCUGUCGUCGCCUCUGCCGGUGGCGCGUGUGUGCGUGUGCCUGGGGCGCCUUUUUGUUCCUUUGCC
rnacentral:lncRNA from 1 species